rnacentral:rRNA from 1 species
UACAGAGGGUGCGAGCGUUGUCCGGAAUCACUGGGCGUAAAGGGCGCGUAGGCGGCCCCGUGCGCGCGCCGUGAAAGCCCGGGGCUCAACCCCGGGUCGGCGGGGCGGACGGCGGGGCUGGAGCAUACCAGAGGCGGGCGGAAUUCCGGGUGUAGCGGUGGAAUGCGUAGAGAUCCGGAAGAACACCGGGGGCGAAGGCGGCCCGCUGGGGUAGUGGCUGACGCUGAGGCGCGACAGCGUGGGGAGCAAACAGG